rnacentral:SRP_RNA from 1 species
GCCGGGUGUGGUGGCGCGUGCCUGUAAUCCAAGUUACUUGGAGCUGAGACUGGGUGGAUCGUUUGAGCUCAGGAUCUCUGAGCUGCAGUGGACUAUGUCGAUCGGGUGUCCCAAUAAGUUCGGUAUCGAUAUGGUGCUCCUGGGGGAGGCGGGACCACCAGGUCGUCUAAGGAGGGGUGCACCGGCCCAGGUCGGAACGGAGCAGGCCAAAGCCCCCGUGCCGCUCAGUAGUGGGAUCGCGCCUGUGAAUAGAGCUGUAGUGAAGCCUGAGUAAUACAGCGGGACCAGUCUUUU